rnacentral:rRNA from 1 species
CAGUCGCCGCGGGAAUACGAAGGGUGCAAGCGUUACUCGGAAUUACUGGGCGUAAAGCGUGCGUAGGUGGUUGUUUAAGUCCGUUGUGAAAGCCCUGGGCUCAACCUGGGAAUUGCAGUGGAUACUGGGUCACUAGAGUGUGGUAGAGGAUAGUGGAAUUUCCGGUGUAGCAGUGAAAUGCGUAGAGAUCGGAAGGAACAUCUGUGGCGAAGGCGACUAUCUGGGCCAACACUGACACUGAGGCACGAAAGCGUGGGGAGCAAACAGGAUUAGAUACCCGUGUAGUCCCUGUCUCUUAUAC